rnacentral:lncRNA from 1 species
AAAACAUGUCCAUUUGUUUAAAAAAUAAUAAAAUUAAAGGACAUUUUACAACAUUCCAUCUAGUAUUUAAAUUAUGAAACAACAAUCAUUUUACCUUAUUAGCAAACCAUGAAGGUUUAUACAGAAAUAUAUAUAGAAUGCACUAUUUCCAGAGAUCAGAAACCUUGUUAUACCCCUAUACCUAACAGUGUUUAGCAUAUAACAGUUAUUGCUUAACCAUCUGUUCAUUUGUAGGGGGGAUGUGAAGGAGAAAUGAAUAGCUUUAUUGCCUUGCUAGUCAAAGGGGUACCAGCAGGCUAAUAGCUGCAAAAACUGUGUUAAUGUCUCCACCCCCCCCAACCCCGGGAGAGUUUGGUGAGGAGUUUCAUAGCAAUGGUUCAAGGGCAGGAUUGCUGAUAAAGAUGGGUUGUGGCCAGGGCCUCUGUUCCUUUAAUCUGUCCUCUUUUUUUUCUGUUUCUGGCACGCGUGCAGCAUGCAGAAGUUCCCAAGCCAAGGACUGAACCCGCAUCACAGCAGUGACCCAAGCCACAGAAGUGAAAAUGCUGGAUUCUUAACCUGCUGUGCCACUAGGGAACUCCUGUUUAUUUUUGAAUAAAGUAAAUGUGACAUAUUUAAAGAUACCCGUAACAAUUAUUAAGCUGCACAUUUAACAGUUUAAUAAACAAAAGGAUUCACAUAUUAUUUUAUAAUUAGGGAGGAAAUGUUCAAAAACAAGUUCACAGGUUCAGUUUUUAAGGAGAAAUAAAAGUUAUAUUCAGUAUUUGAAGCUUUCAUCUUUAUCAGAAAUAACAACCAUACACACUAACAUUUUUUACAUCUGAAGAAUUUCUUUUUCCUUUUUUUUUUUUUUUUUUUUUUUUUUUUUUUUGUCUUUUGUCUCUUUUGGGCCACACCCCCUGGGAACCUCCAUAUGCCUUGGGAGCGGCCCUGGAAAAGGCAAAAAAACAAAAAAAUAAAAAUAAACAAAUAUUAUGAUACUUCUCUGUAUGGAACACUGAAGUGAAUUUAAUCUUCUGUUUUACUUCAAACAUUAUUUUUCUUUAAGAGUUUCUUUAAAAUGAGGUAUGUAGUCUGUAGGUACCAUCCCAAGUUCCUUGGGUCAAAAGUUAACAGUAUGGGGUCAUCAAGUAAAUUAAAUGUUAAUGGCAGAAAUUAAAGGACUUAAAUUAAAAACAUAGGGCCUAAUCCUAUGAUGAAGAAAAGUAAGGAAACAUGUUCCCACAAGAGUUGUAAACUGUUCACCUAUUUAAAAUAAAUUACUUCUUCAGAGCUGCCUUAAAAAGUUAAUUUGUUUUAAACACAUAAGCAUUUCUUUGCCAAAAGAGAACAUGCUGUAUUUUAUUAUCUUUAUUUCCCUAUAGAUUUGUUCUACAAGGAAUAAUUUUUUACAUAUUAAGAAUAGAAAUUUCAGUGUAAGGCUCAACUCUCAUAGAAACCUGGUCACAUAUCCUCAAUCAUAUCUCCUAGAGACCAAGGGGCUCAACGUUACUUCUGUUUGCUAAAAAUGAAUAAAAAAUGAAUGUUAAUAGAUCCCUGUUCUCCUUAACUUCUAGGACAAGGAUCAUCCAAAGUCAAUAAGGUCUCUGAGAAAGCCAACAGUUGUCAUUUUAAACAUUUCUUACUCAGUGUAAAGUCUAUUAAAAACCUUCAAAUUUCUUUUGUUAAAGGGUCAAGAAUAGAUCUAUUUUUAUUACUUGCAGGUCUUUUUUAUUACUUAAAUUGUUCCCCAAAUACUCACAUUUUAUCGGCUAGGACAAAAGUUUACCAAUCCUUGGUAUAUUUUAGACCACGUACAGUAUUUGAUUUACCAUUUGGGGUGUCACUUUUUUGAGAUGGGCUCUGUUAAAACUGGAGAAUAAACCUUUAAACAGUGAAAGGUUUAAAAUCAUAAAGCCGCUAAAGAAACGACAGAUGUUGGGUGGAUAGCAAUUCAGUGGCUCCCAUGGUUGAAAAUACUAGCGGUCAUACUUAAGGAGUUAUCACAUGUAGAUGGGAAUCAAUUUGUUCUCAGCCAUUCCAGGGGGUAGUUGCAAAUAGGGGUGUUUUAUUAAGAUUCUAUGACUCCAAACCUGAAGACUAAAUUUCCCUUACUAGUGAAAUUUAAAUUAUUUUUUAAAAAUGUUUCAAAAACCUUUAAAGAGGUAUUUAAUACAUCUAAGCUCAGCAUUUUCACACUAAUAUUUUAGAAAGUAGAUAAGUGAAACAAAUGGGUUUAUCCCUUUACAAGUAUCCGUAUUGGUAACAGAUUGGGAGGGUGGUAGUUCAUACUUCUGUAAAUAUUACCAUUAUUAAUUAUAAAUGAAUUUUAGUUCAGUCCCAUAAUCUGUGUCCAAGAAUAUGGAAGCAAAAUAAUUCUUCGUAUAGGGGAAAAAGCCUUAUAUCUCCAUAAUCUUAACAGAAUCAGAGUUGAAAAUAUGAAUGAAUCUAUUCUAACCACUUUCAGAAACUGGGACUCUAAACUAUGCAAAGUAAAUUUCCCCAAACAGAAGUACAUUUCCUGAUCCAUCUAUAAAUUUUCUUCCAUAUAAUGAAUAUGGAUAUACUCAAAAAAUCCCAAAAGGCAAAAGAAAAUAAAAAGAAAAAA